AUUGAACGCUGGCGGUAGGCCUAACACAUGCAAGUCGAACGCGAAAGUCCUUCGGGAUGAGUAGAGUGGCGGACGGGUGAGUAACGCGUAGGAAUCUAUCCUGUAGUGGGGGAUAACGUUUCGAAAGGAACGCUAAUACCGCAUACGCCCCAAGGGGGAAAGCGGGGGAUCUUCGGACCUCGUGCUAUAGGAGGAGCCUGCGUCGGAUUAGCUAGUUGGUGAGGUAAAGGCUCACCAAGGCGACGAUCCGUAGCUGGUCUGAGAGGAUGAUCAGCCACACCGGAACUGAGACACGGUCCGGACUCCUACGGGAGGCAGCAGUGGGGAAUAUUGCGCAAUGGGCGAAAGCCUGACGCAGCCAUACCGCGUGUGUGAAGAAGGCCUCGGUUGUAG
rnacentral:rRNA from 1 species